UGGUAUCUCAAUCUUCCGGAGCUCGGCCACCUCCGUCUGAACUCUUCUUGUCUUACCACCUGCGUGGUAAUUCACGUUCUGUUAAGAAACGGAACUCUUUAGUGUGAAAGCAGUUCCGGCGGGUGGUGCGUCCCUAUUCACAAACCCUUUUCAGUGGCUGAGUCGUGACAGAAACGAAAUAUAUGUAUGUUGAUUUAACAAGCAAGAGACCAACAACUGCAAGUAGACGUAAAACACCAACAGACGAUGAAUUUGACUCUACAGGAAG